UACGUAGGGUGCGAGCGUUAAUCGGAAUUACUGGGCGUAAAGCGUGCGCAGGCGGUUUGCUAAGACCGAUGUGAAAUCCCCGGGCUCAACCUGGGAACUGCAUUGGUGACUGGCAGGCUAGAGUAUGGCAGAGGGGGGUAGAAUUCCACGUGUAGCAGUGAAAUGCGUAGAGAUGUGGAGGAAUACCCGAUGGCGAAAGGCAGCCCCCCUGGGCCAAUACUGACGCUCAUGCACGAAAAGCGUGGGGAGCAAACAGG
rnacentral:rRNA from 1 species